rnacentral:misc_RNA from 1 species
GAAAUAGCAAAUUUUUUUUUCAACUCUUAUUUCUUUAAAAAAUUGAACAAUUUCAGACAAUCAUCCCCCAAGAAUGCUAUAACUCAGGUAGGAGGAUGCCUUACCAUCUUUAUUUCUCUGUGUAUUCUGUUCUGAAUUUCCACGAGCAUAAAUAUCCUAGAAUUUAGAAAACGAGACUACUUCCUGUGUCCUUCCUUAUCUUCUUCUGUUCCAUCCUCUCUCUCGCGUCAAGAGCUUCUGGCCACUGACCCACUGAGGCAUAAAUAUUUGACAAGAGCACAUACACACCUGAUUCUUCUGCUUCCAAGUCGGUAGCUCUCUCUGCCACCUCUUCUGCUAAUUUCAAAUCAUUUCUUGUGCUGCAACCCCCAAGCAAAGCUCCCCAUAUGGCAAUGUCAGGUUCAAAGGGCAUAUUAUUCACUAGAAGCAUUGCUUCUUCAAGCUGACCAUUCCGGCUAAGCAAGUCGAUAAAACAACCGAAAUGUUCAAUCUUCGGACUAAUCUUAUAAUCUUUCUCCAUUCUAUAGAAGAUUCUGCGACCUUGUUCCACCAUGCCUCCAUGGCUACAAGCAAAUAAAGCACUAGUAAAUGUGAAAUCGUUUGGCUUCAAUCGUGACUUCUGCAUCAAAUAGAAAAUCUUCACAGCAUCUUCAGUUCUUCCAUUGAUAGCUAAAGAUUUGAUCAUAACAUUCCAGCAAAAAACAUCCUUAUUUGUUAUCUUUAAAAACACUGCAAAACUUCUAUUAACAUCUGCACAGCUAGCAUACAUUUCUAUAAGGGCAGUCCCUACCAUGACUUCCCAUUGAGAGAGAUCUCCAAUUAAAUAGUGUAUAUAUUUCCCAUACUCCAGAUCUCCUAAGUUUGAACAUGCUGACAAAACAGCAACAAAGGUAUAUCCAUCUGGAAUCACAUCUUCUGAGUGCAUUUGAACAAAAAGAUUCGAUGCUUCCACAAAUUUCCCCUGUUUGGUAUAACUAGAAAUCAUUGUAUUCCAAGAAACCACAUUCCUAUGCGGCAUUUUCUCAAAAAACCUCCUUGCUGCUUUAAGGUCACCUGUAUCAGCAUACGCUCCUAUCAUCAACGUCCAAGAAAUAACGUUCUUCUCUGGCAUCCAAUCAAACAAUUCUCUUGCAUUUUCUACUUCUCCCAUUUUGACAUAACCUGAAAUCAUAGAAUUCCAAGAAACAACAUCCCUUUCUGGCAUAGCUUCGAACAACUGUCUCGCGGACCUGACAUCACCAAAGCUUACAUACUCGGAUAUCAUUUUGUUCCAUACUUCUACCGGCCUCAUAAACAUAUCAUCGAAACUCUUGCGGACAUCGCUUAACUUGUAAUUAUCGGGCAAUCCCAUGUCAAGAGAAGCAGGCAUUUUUGUAUACAUGUUAAAAAGGGAGUAGGCGACAGCGAAGCUGGACUCAAAUCCAGACUUUAUAAUCUGACAAUGCACUCUCUUUCCUUUUCUGCAAUGCCCCAAUUCGCAACAGGAGUUUAACACAUAUGGGUACGUAUAGUUAUCCGGUUUUAGGUCUUUCAGAGGCAUUUCAUCGAACAUCGAUAUACAUUUCUCAAAAGGACCGUUGAAUGCGUAUCCUCUAAUCAUGGCAUUCCAGAGCAAGGUUUCUGUGUUAAAAUCAUGAUCCAUUUGGGAGAAGAUGAGAUUUGAAUAAUCCAUGGAGCCAAAUUCGGUGCUUCGACGAAGAAAUCUGGAGAAGAAUUGGGUGUUCUGAUAGAGAGAAGCUGCGAUGAUGAGGGCAUGGAUUUGUUUCAGAUGUUGGAAUGUGCAUUUUGGCAAUAAAUUUGAGAUUUUCAGUUGUAAGUUCCAAGGCAUAUGUAGAAUAUCGGAUUUUUGGAUUUUUACUUCCAAUAAACAGCGUGAAAUUUCGAUUUGUUGUGCUGAGGAUUGAGUAACGGUUAGCAUCUAAUUAGUUUCAGCCAUGAGGGAACGACGUCGCUUACAAGGUUCAGGGAGCGCGGCUCUACAUUGGUCUUUCAAUUUAAC